GGCUGCAAAGGCACUGAGCUUACCUGUUGGGACUUGGAGGGGAGACAGCACUAGCCUUAGGUUUUUGAGGCAGCGGAAAGCUGCCAGCAGUCUCCGCCUUGAAGGUUUUAUACCUUUAAGGUUUUUGAUUCAGGAGUGUCUUCAGUUCUUCGGUUGGAGGCAAAAGGGUGGCUGGAAGUUGAUCGUUGGCAGAAAGAUGUGCGAGAAGUGCCAGGACCAGUCUGCAGAAGUGAGGAUGUGGAGUGACGUCAGCAUGCUCGCCUAUCAAAGAUCCCCCAACCUCUGCCCUCCAUGAGGACUGCAAGUGCUUUCAGAGAUGCUGGUGACAUCAUUAUCUCCCUGUGGGAGCAUGGUGGUCUCGGGAGGGUAACCAGGGGUGGGAGGGUCCAUGUGCCCUAUGUCCUUCUUCCCAGUGACCCCAAGUCAUACUAAGGACCACCCCCCACGUCAGUUUCCUGCCUGUCUUCUGAGCAGAGAGUGGGAGAUGUGGUGAAGGGCAAGAGAGAGUUGAGGCAUUGGGCCCAGCAGGAGGUGCAGGUGGUGAAUGGGGGAGUUAGGAGCAUAAGGUGUGGGAAGGGACUGUUGGGGAGUAGGGACUUAGGAGGGGAAGCAUGUUCACUGGGACCUAGCUUUUCCCUGGACACUCAGGCAUUUGCACAGUUGUCCUCUCAGUCCACAUUUCUCAUCUCCUUUUCAAGGUUGUGAAGCACUCAGCAUUUCCCAAGCAGAGGCUCUGUGGUUCAUCCAGCUGUUGUGUCCACAUCUGAAUAAUCUGGAAACCUCUGCAUGUUUCCAAGACCAAAGGAAAUGAAGACGCCUCCAAUGGAGGAAUCUAGAAAACAUCAUGCUGAUUGAACUAAGCCAGUCCCAAAUGGACAAAUAUCUUAUGUUUUCCCUGAUCAGUGACAACUAACUGAGCACCAAAGGGGAAACCUGUUGAAGUGAAAUGGACACUAUGAGAAACAGUAACUUGAUCAGCUCUUGUCCUGACGGUUGAUGUACAAUUUAGCCUGGUGAACUCCCCCCCCCCCAGGGGUCGUUCCCUCUAGUCUCCUCUCUCCGCUUGCCUGCCGGUGUCUCGGGCUAUUGAGGUUCGGCUCACCUCGCGUUCCAGCGCUGGUGUGUUGAGUCUGCCGCUGGUGUCCCGAACUGUGGUCUCGCAUGCUCUCCACGCAGGUCCGCUGUGAAUCAUGCUUUCCGGAAGAGUUUCUUCUGCUGUUUCCUCCCCUACUCUUCCUUGAAUCUGCAGUAUCUCCACUUUUAUUAAACUAUCUCUCCCCGGACUAUCAGUGUGCUCCCUUCCUAUUCCGCCAUCUUGCCUCUUCCCCAAUACACAGUUAUUCUUAAGUGUUGAAAUUUAACUGAAAUGUGAUCCCUGUUAAAUAUAAGAGUGGGAAUAAGAGAGGGAAGAGAUGUACAAUUUGGGACAUGCUCAAGCUGACUUGCCCCAAACGGUAGAGUUAGAAACAUACCAGGGGAUUCCAAUUCAAUCCCAUCAAGGUGGCAUGUACCAAUGCCAUCUCACUAGUCCCAGUGAUCAAUUUCUGUUCACAAUUGAUCAUAGUGAUAGGACUAAGAGCCAGAGGGAUCACAUAAACAAGAAUAGUGUCUGCAAAUACUAACUGAUAGAAUAAAAAAGGGAGAGAACGAUCCAACAUGGGAAGCAAGAUACACAACAGACUCAUAGAAUGGCAAAUGUCCUAAACAGCACUUUGGCCUCAUAAUCAGCCCUUAAGGCAUGCGGAUCUGGCUGAAAAGCCCAUGAGGGUAUUUCAGGCAUGGAAAGCCAAGACACUCUGGCCAAAAAAAAAAUUACCUAAAUGAAAGAUCUCUGUGAGUGAGAUCCCAGUGGAAAGAACAGGUCAUCAAAGAAGGAGGUACCUUUCUCUGAAGGGAGGAGAGAACUUCCACUUUGACUAAGACCUUGUCUAAAUAUGAUCAGAGUCGGUGAACUCAAAAGGCUUCCAUAGCCUUGGCAACUCAUGACAAGAGUCUAGGGUGAUUACUGACGCCAUACACAAGAGUGUCAAUUUGUUUAGUCAACAACAGGAGUCACUGUGCACUUACUCCUCAUGUAGGAUCUCUGUCCUUAAUGUGCUGUACAUUGUGAUUUAAUGCUAUAACUAGUACUCAAACAGUAUAUUUCACUUUGUGUUUCUAUGUGGGUGCAAACUGUUGAAAUCUUUAAUAUAUGCUAAACUGUUCUUCUGUAUAUAAAAAGAAUUGAAAAUGAAUCUUGAUGUGAAUGGAGGGGAGAGGGAGCGGGAAAGGGGAGGGUUGCAAGUGGGAGGGAAUUUAUAGGG